AUUGAACGCUGGCGGCAUGCCUUACACAUGCAAGUCGAACGGCAGCGCGGGGCAACCUGGCGGCGAGUGGCGAACGGGUGAGUAAUAUAUCGGAACGUACCCUGGAGUGGGGGAUAACGUAGCGAAAGUUACGCUAAUACCGCAUACGAUCUAAGGAUGAAAGCAGGGGACCGCAAGGCCUUGUGCUCCUGGAGCGGCCGAUAUCUGAUUAGCUAGUUGGNGGGGUAAAGGCCUACCAAGGCAUCGAUCAGUAGCUGGUCUGGGAGGACGACCAGCCACACUGGAACUGAGACACGGUCCAGACUCCUACGGGAGGCAGCAGUGGGGAAUUUUGGACAAUGGGCGCAAGCCUGAUCCAGCAAUGCCGCGUGAGUGAAGAAGGCCUCGGUUGUAAGUA
rnacentral:rRNA from 1 species